rnacentral:lncRNA from 1 species
UGCCUGUCUGUUGGGGAUGGAGGUCAACAUAUAUAGGAGUCUUCCUAACAACAAGUAGUAAUGCUAUUCCUUUACCCUGCUUGGUCAUAACACGGUAGUGGGAGCUGCCAGCUUCACAUGUUUUAACUCUGUCAGAGCACUUUGAAAAAGUGGUCUGUGGUAUUUGGAAAGCUGAUGUUGCGUGUAAAGAUUACAGACAAGCUUUAUCCAAGGAGAUUCGGCUCUUGAAGUUGGGAAAGUGGUGCCUCUUCGAUUUUCGAACAAGCAAUCUUGUCGGAGAUCUGGCUCUCGAGAUUCGGAGAACGAUGCCUUUUCGAUUUUUGAGAAAGCAAUCCUGCUAAGGGUCUGGCUCUCGAGAUUCGGAGAGCGGUGUCUCUUCAAUUUUUUAGAAAGUAAUCAUGUUGGGAGUUUGGCUCUCGAGAUUCGGAGGGCGGUGCCUCUUCGAUUUU